GAUGAAGAACGUAGCGAAAUGCGAUAAGUAGUGUGAAUUGCAGAAUUCAGUGAAUCAUCGAAUCUUUGAACGCACAUUGCGCCCCUUGGUAUUCCAUGGGGCAUGCCUGUUCGAGCGUCAUUUGUACCUUCAAGCCUUGCUUGGUGUUGGGUGUUUGUCUCGCCUCUGCGCGCAGACUCGCCUCAAAACAAUUGGCAGCCGGCGUAUUGAUUUCGGAGCGCAGUACAUCUCGCGCUUUGCACUCAGAACGACGACGUCCAAAAGUACAUUUUUACACUCUUGACCUCGGAUCAGGUAGGGAUACCCGCUGAACUUAAGCAUAUCAAUAGCGGAGGA
rnacentral:misc_RNA from 1 species